GCCAUAUCACGUUGGAACAGCGGCACUCCUACGAUCACCGAAAUUAAGCAACGUUGAGCCUGGUUAGUACCUAUGUGGGUGACUGCUUGGGAAUACCAGGUGC